rnacentral:rRNA from 1 species
GACGAACGCUGGCGGCGUGCCUAAUACAUGCAAGUCGAACGCAGUGGGGACGGGUGAGUAACACGUGGGUAACCUCCCAUCAGAGGGGGGAACACUUGGAAACAGGUGCUAAACCGCUACUGAUGGAUGGAGCCGCGGUGCAUGCGCUAGUUGGUGAGGGAACGGCGCACCAAGGCCACGAUGCAUAGCGGCUCUGAUAGGGUGAUCGGCCACACUGGUACUGAGACACGGCCCAGACUCCUACGGGAGGCAGCAGUAGGGAAUCUUCGGCAAUGGACGAAAGUCUGACGGAGCAAUGCCGCGUGAGUGAAGAAGGUUUUCGGAUCGUAAAACACUGUUGUUAGAGAAGCGGUAUCUAACCAGAAAGCCACGGCUAACUACGUGCCAGCAGCCGCGGUAAUAC